UCAUAUCAAAGACAACGACCAGUGCCAAGGUAUAAAAUCUGCUCUGUAAACUUACGACGAAGUGGAGAAAUGUGUGCAUAAGCUGUUUAUUUGGCGAUUUCAACGUCCAAUAAUAUUCGCUUAUCGCACAGAAUAACACCAACUGAUAUAAUAGUUCAAAUGAAUUGAAUUACUUCUCAGAAACUGUGUUGGAAAUGGAAAUGCUGACCCAUUCCAUACGAUUACCGUUUUACAUCGUUGUAUAAAACAUUUUGAUCGCAUGUAAGAAAUCAUUUCUCAUCCCAGAGAUAUAGCCCAAUGACUUAACAUUGACGUCCUUGUG
rnacentral:lncRNA from 1 species